rnacentral:rRNA from 1 species
CAAUAGCGUAUAUUUAAGUUGUUGCAGUUAAAAAGCUCGUAGUUGGAUUUCGGGUGGGACGCAGCGGUCUCGCAUUGCGUUUGUACUGCUGCAGCCCUCCUUCUUGCCGGGGGCGGCCUCUCGGACUUCACUGUCUGGGGGUCAGAAUCGGCGAUGUUACUUUGAGUAAAUUAGAGUGUUCAAAGCAAGCUUACGCUCUGAAUAUAAUAGCAUGGGAUAACACGACAGGACUCUGGCCUAUCGUGUUGGUCUAUAGGACCAGAGUAAUGAUUAAGAGGGACAGUCGGGGGCAUUCGUAUUCCGUUGUCAGAGGAGAAAUUCUUGGAUUUACGGAAGACGAACAUCUGCGAAAGCAUUUGCCAAGGAUGUUUUCAUUGA